rnacentral:rRNA from 1 species
GACGAACGCUGGCGGCGUGCCUAAUACAUGCAAGUAGAACGCUGAAGGAGGAGCUUGCUUCUCUGGAUGAGUUGCGAACGGGUGAGUAACGCGUAGGUAACCUGCCUGGUAGCGGGGGAUAACUAUUGGAAACGAUAGCUAAUACCGCAUAACAGUAGAUAUCGCAUGAUAUCUACUUGAAAGGUGCAAUUGCAUCACUACCAGAUGGACCUGCGUUGUAUUAGCUAGUUGGUGAGGUAACGGCUCACCAAGGCGACGAUACAUAGCCGACCUGAGAGGGUGAUCGGCCACACUGGGACUGAGACACGGCCCAGACUCCUACGGGAGGCAGCAGUAGGGAAUCUUCGGCAAUGGACGGAAGUCUGGCCGAGCAACGCCGCGUGAGUGAAGAAGGUUUUCGGAUCGUAAAGCUCUGUUGUAAGAGAAGAACGAGUGUGAGAGUGGAAAGUUCACACUGUGACGGUAUCUUACCAGAAAGGGACGGCUAACUACGUG